UUUUUCAGUUAAACCAAAAGCCUGAAUACAUAACUGAUUUUAAAGAUUGAUAGAUAUUCAGUUAGAAAAAAAGUUUUCAGAUAAUCUUCGUAAUUACAGAGUCAUUAUAAGCCCACAUGUUUUAAAUAACAUAGCUGUUGAAAAUACAUUUAAAGGGUAAUGAAACAUCAUUAAAUUACCUAUACAAUGAAAUAUACACCAAUUAACAACAUUAAAUGACUUGUUUACAUGCAAAAAUAAAACAUUCUUCAUAAAAUACCUUCUGUAAAAGGACUGAUUUAAAACAUCAAAUGUUCAUAAAAACACUCCAAAAUGCAACAGCAUAGCUGCAAUAUAAAUGACUAAAUCUUAAAUAAUUUAAAUUCAUAAAACUAUACUUUAACCCUUAACACAAAGAUUUUUUUGUUAUUAAUAGUGAAAUAAAAGUCAGCUUUCAUAAAAUAUAAAGAUUAAAGAGUAAUCACAAUUUACAUUGCCAAAUUUUUGCAUUUUAACAUAAUACAAUUAUUCUUAAAAACAUGUCUAAAUUAACUAUCAAAAAUAAAAAGUGUUUGAUGGAAAGCGAAAUGAUAUUUUAUGGGAAGGCAUUUUCAUAAAAAAAAAAUUAAUGACUCAUUUAAAGUUUAUCAUUGGCAUUUAAUCAAAUAAAGUUUUUUUUUAACAUAUAUUUUCUUACUGCUUUUUAGAUUUCAAAAAGAUUAAAACAAUAAAUGUAUCCUAGUAAAAAACACAAUUAAGCACCUUGUGAACACUAAAAGAGUACACCUUAGUAACAUUUCAAUCCACAUAAAAAUAAAUAAAACCUGAUUCACAAAAUGAUGUAACUAAACGUUUCAUUUAUAAUUCAUCUAAAAUAGCAACCAUUGUAUUUAUACUUCAUAACCAACUUUUCAGUGUAUAACAACAAUAUUCUACCAGUAUAUAUAAAAGAAAUAUAUAAUAAGUGUAUAGUUAAAUUGCAAUUCUAAUAAAACCUCACAAGCAAAUCCCUGUGUACAAAACUCUAAAAGCAAUCUUACAACUAAUUUAACAAGGAUGCAGUCUAAAAGACUUAGG
rnacentral:lncRNA from 1 species